AUACGGAGGAUGCGAGCGUUAUCCGGAUUUAUUGGGUUUAAAGGGAGCGUAGGCGGGAGCUUAAGUCAGCGGUUAAAUGGUGCGGCUCAACCGUGCCCUGCCGUUGAAACUGGGUUUCUUGAGAGUGCAAGAGGCGGAUGGAAUUCAUGGUGUAGCGGUGAAAUGCUUAGAUAUCAUGAAGAACUCCGAUUGCGAAGGCAGUACGCGGGGGCACGUCUGACGCUGAUGCUCGAAGGUGCGGGAAUCAAACAGGAUUAGAUACCCUGGUAGUCCGCACGGUAAACGAUGAUUACCCGCUGUCGGCGGCAGACAGUCGGCGGCCAAGCGAAAGCGAUAAGUAAUCCACCUGGGGAGUACGCCGGCAACGGUGAAACUCAAAGGAAUUGACGGGG
rnacentral:rRNA from 1 species